AUGGCCACGAUCACAGUUCCUCAAGUUGUCCCUUCUCCGGUUGAAGAUGCUGAGGCGCUCAUGAAGGCCUUCCAAGGAUGGGGCACUGACGAGCAGGCAGUGAUCUACAUACUAGCUCACCGGGACGCAGCGCAGAGGAAGCUGAUCCGGCUGGCGUACGAAGAGAAAUACAACGAGCGCCUCACCGACCGGCUCGAGUCAGAACUCUCCGGCGAUCUUCAGACGGCGAUGGGCUACUGGGUGCUCGACCCCGCGGAGAGGCAGGCCGUGAUCGCCAACGCCGCCACGAAAUGCAUCGACGAGGAGUACCCCGUGAUCGUGGAGAUCGCGUGCGCCAACUCGCCCGCCGAGCUCCUGGAAGUGAAGCGGGCCUACCACGCCAUCUACAAGCGCUCGCUCGAGGAAAACGUCGCCGCUGGUGCCACGGGAAACCUCCGUGAUCUCUUGGUCGCUCUGGUGAGCACCUACAGGUACGACGGCGACGAGGUGGACGGCGGGCUAGCGAGAUCGGAAGCGAAGAUCAUUCAAGCGGACGUGAAAAACGGCGUCACGGCGGAUCACGGGGAGCUCAUCAGGGUUCUGGGCACCAGGAGCAGAGCCCAGCUCGGCGCCACGUUCAACUGCUUCAGAGAUGAGCACGGCACCACCGUCACCAAGGCCCUGCUGCAUGGGUCCGAUCCGACGGGCUACGCGCGCGUGCUGCGGACCGCGGCGAGGUGCAUCGCCGACACAGACAAGUACUUCGCCAAGGUCCUGAGGAGCGCGAUGCACAAGUCGGGGACCGACGAGGAGAGCCUGCUCCGGGUGGUGGUGAUGCACGCGGAGAAGGACCUCAGGGGCAUCAAAGACGAGUUCCACAAGAGGGCGUCGGUUGCCUUGGAGCAAGCCAUCGCCAAGGAAACCUCCGGUGACUUCAAGACCUUCAUCAUGGCUCUUGUUGGGACUAGCCAAUAA
rnacentral:rRNA from 1 species